AUCAUCAGGAAUAAAGGGUUU
rnacentral:misc_RNA from 1 species